rnacentral:tRNA from 1 species
AAAAUUUUAGUUUAAAGAAAAAUAAUUUUUUUACAAAAAAUAGAUUAAUUUAUUUAAAAUUUUUUAAAUUUAA